CCCUUAGAUGUUCGGGGCCGCACGCGCGCUACACUGAAUGAAUCAGCGAGUGUAUGUCCUAGGCCGAAAGGUCCGGGUAACCCGUUGAAUCUCCUUCGUGAUAGGGAUUGGGGCUUGAAAUUGUUCCCCAUGAACGAGGAAUUCCCAGUAAGCGCGAGUCAUAAGCUCGCGUUGAUUACGUCCCUGCCCUUUGUACACACCGCCCGUCGCUACUACCGAUUGAACGGUUUAGUGAGGGCCUCGGAUUGGUCUCGGCCCGCUCUUUACCGGGCGGCGCCGUUGGUCGAGAAGACGCUCGAACUUGAUCGUUUAGAGGAAGUAAAAGUCGUAACA
rnacentral:rRNA from 1 species